rnacentral:rRNA from 1 species
CCAAUAGCGUAUAUUAAAGUUGUUGUGGUUAAAAAGCUCGUAGUUGAACCUUGGGCCUGGCUGGCCGGUCCGCCUCACCGCGUGUACUGGUCCGGCCGGGCCUUUCCCUCUGUGGAACCCCAUGCCCUUCACUGGGUGUGGCGGGGAAACAGGACUUUUACCUUGAAAAAAUUAGAGUUCUCCAGGCAGGCCUAUGCCAGAAAACAUUAGCCUGUAAUAAUAAAAUAGGACGUGUGGUUCUAUUUUGUUGGUUUCUAGGACCGCCGUAAUGAUUAAUAGGGACAGUCGGGGGCAUCAGUAUUCAAUUGUCAGAGGUGAAAUUCUUGGAUUUAUUGAAGACUAACUACUGCGAAAGCAUUUGCCAAGGAUGUUUUCAUUAAUCAGGAACGAAAGUUAGGGGAUCGAAGACGAUCAGAUACCGUCGUAGUCUUAACCAUAAACUAUGCCGACUAGGGAUCGGACGAUGUUAUUUUUUGACUCGUUCGGCACCUUACG